rnacentral:rRNA from 1 species
AGAGACAGCAGUAGCCGCGGGAAUACAGAGGGUGCGAGCGUUAAUCGGAUUUACUGGGCGUAAAGCGUGCGUAGGCGGCUUCUUAAGUCGGAUGUGAAAUCCCUGAGCUUAACUUAGGAAUUGCAUUCGAUACUGGGAAGCUAGAGUAUGGGAGAGGAUGGUAGAAUUCCAGGUGUAGCGGUGAAAUGCGUAGAGAUCUGGAGGAAUACCGAUGGCGAAGGCAGCCAUCUGGCCUAAUACUGACGCUGAGGUACGAAAGCAUGGGGAGCAAACAGGAUUAGAUACCCCUGUAGUCCUGUCUCUUAUACA